rnacentral:lncRNA from 1 species
GGGGGGGGGGUUCCUGAAAGGGAGCAUGCAAUCGUAAUCUUGUCGCGAAGAAAAAGUGGGUUACAUAUAACAUAAGGUGCAUGUGGUAUAAUUACCAAUGCCAGAUCAUGAUCAAUUUUACAUACAUUUUAAAGUAUUUAAUAUCAUAACAUUUAAAACACAAAUAUAUCAGUGGGUCAAGUGAAAUACCUAUGUAAUGAAUCAUCACAACAUGGGUGUGCAUUGGAUAAAAAAAUGGUUU